rnacentral:rRNA from 1 species
GUCCACGCCGUAAACGAUGAAUGCUAGCCGUCGGUGGGCAUGCCCUUCGGUGGCGCAGCUAACGCAAUAAGCAUUCCGCCUGGGGAGUACGAUCGCAAGAUUAAAACUCAAAGGAAUUGACGGGGGCCCGCACAAGCGGUGGAGCAUGUGGUUCAAUUCGAAGCAACGCGAAGAACCUUACCAGGCCUUGACAUCCCGGUCGCGGCCCCUUGAAAGAGGGGCCUUCAGUUCGGCUGGACCGGUGACAGGUGCUGCAUGGCUGUCGU